rnacentral:rRNA from 1 species
UACGUAGGUGGCAAGCGUUGUCCGGAUUUACUGGGCGUAAAGAGCGCGCAGGCGGUCGAUCAAGUCGAGUGUGAAAGCCCCCGGCUCAACUGGGGAGGGUCAUUCGAUACUGAUCGACUCGAAGGCAGGAGAGGGUAGUGGAAUUCCCGGUGUAGCGGUGAAAUGCGCAGAUAUCAGGAAGAACACCCGUGGCUAAGGCGGUUCUCUAGUACGGUACUGACGCUGAGACGCGAAAGCGUGGGGAGCGAACAGG